rnacentral:rRNA from 1 species
AACGAACGCUGGCGGCAGGCCUAACACAUGCAAGUCGAGCGAGGACUUCGGUUCUAGCGGCGGACGGGUGAGUAACGCGUGGGAAUGUGCCCUUCUCUACGGAAUAGCCCUGGGAAACUGGGAGUAAUACCGUAUACGCCCUUUUGGGGAAAGAUUUAUCGGAGAAGGAUCAGCCCGCGUUGGAUUAGGUAGUUGGUGGGGUAAUGGCCUACCAAGCCGACGAUCCAUAGCUGGUUUGAGAGGAUGAUCAGCCACACUGGGACUGAGACACGGCCCAGACUCCUACGGGAGGCAGCAGUGGGGAAUCUUAGACAAUGGGGGCAACCCUGAUCUAGCCAUGCCGCGUGAGUGAUGAAGGCCUUAGGGUUGUAAAGCUCUUUCAGCUGGGAAGAUAAGGACGGUACCAGCAGAAGAAGCCCCGGCUAACUCCGU